rnacentral:rRNA from 1 species
AUUCCAGCUCCAAUAGCGUAUAUUAAAGUUGUUGCAGUUAAAAAGCUCGUAGUUGGAUUUCUGUUCUCGAGGAUCGGUCCGCCUCACGGUGAGCACUGGUUUUUCUUGGGGACAUCCUCUCGAAGGCGGGUGGUGCACUUAAUUGUGUGCUGCUUGGAUUCGGGACCUUUACUUUGAAAAAAUUAGAGUGUUCAAAGCAGGCGUCGGCUUGAAUACAUUAGCAUGGAAUAAUGGAAUAGGACUUUGGUUCUAUUUUGUUGGUUUCUAGGACCGAAGUAAUGAUUAAUAGGGAUAGUUGGGGGUGUCUGUAUUGUGUUGUCAGAGGUGAAAUUCUUAGAUUUACACAAGACAAACUACUGCGAAAGCAUUCACCAAGGAUGUUUUCAUUA